rnacentral:rRNA from 1 species
CAGCAGCCGCGGGAAUACGAAGGGGGCUAGCGUUGUUCGGAAUUACUGGGCGUAAAGCGCACGUAGGCGGAUAUUUAAGUCAGGGGUGAAAUCCCAGAGCUCAACUCUGGAACUGCCUUUGAUACUGGGUAUCUUGAGUAUGGAAGAGGUGAGUGGAAUUCCGAGUGUAGAGGUGAAAUUCUUAGAUAUUCGGAGGAACACCAGUGGCGAAGGCGGCUCACUGGUCCAUUACUGACGCUGAGGUGCGAAAGCGUGGGGAGCAAACAGGAUUAGAUACCCCCGUAGUCCCUGUCUCUUAUAA